GAGGGACAGACUUUUCUUUUUUUUACAUGAGAAGCUCACUUUCACGUUGAACUCGUCAUCUUUCUUCUCUUAUCAGCAGGAUAUAAUAUCGAGAGAAGGAAGUCCCAAAACACCUGUGCCUUACAGCAUGAACAGUGAUCGGUCCAUGUAUGAACCAAUAACGCUCAACAGUGGAAUCCGUACCUCUGUGAAAUGGAGCCAGCAGGCGGAGACAGAGUACUUGUUGUAUACAGUCGGCUCAGCAGACAGUGAGAUUGAUUUAUAUGGAUCUGGGCUUC